AUGAAACAACAUUGUGAAGAACAUGAUGUGAAGAAGUUAGCCAUGCCUCGGAUAGGAUGUGGUCUAGAUAGACUGGAUUGGAAUAAAGUAAGAGAAAUGAUCAAACAAACAUUUCACGAAACGAACAUUGAGCUGACUAUAUAUACUCUCUGAUAAAUAAUACAUAAUUCACGAGGUGAAAGUCGAAUUAUAACAGAGCCGUCUGUUGAACAAACUGCCCAAGGCAUGCUCAUAUAUGUUGUCAUUAAUUAAAUAAAUUAUUUUUUAUUUUUAAUUCUAUAGGAUUAUACGGAAGGUUUUUCAAUAUCUUAUUAUUUUCGUAACGUUUCGGGCAGUUUAACUGUCCUUCUUCAGACUAUGGACUACAAAAAAUUACUGUUACAGGUAACUCCCGAAACGUUGCGAAAAUAAUAAAAUAUUGAGGAAAAACCUUCCGUAUCAU